GACCGCGUAGCUCAAUUGGCAGAGCAUUGGGCUAGCAUUCCAAAGGUCGUAGGUUCGAUUCCCACCGUGGUCA
rnacentral:tRNA from 1 species